CACAAAUAAUAAAAACAACAACUUGUUUGCUUCAGGUUCAUGUCGUCCAAAAAGGCCACAACUGUUAACAUCAGAUUGGAAUUUUCAAAAUAGAGAAAUUAAAAAUGACUACAGAAUAAGUGCAGUGACAUAAACAGCACAAAGUAAUCUGAUCUGCAACAUAUGAUGAAAGUGAACAGAGCGUUUACGCAACUUAUCCUUCAAUCUCCAUACUUCUUAAUUAGACUGAAAAACUUUUGUGAGAAAAGAGAGUGGUCCUCAUCUUCUUCUCUAUCCAUAAAAAAAAGACGCAAAAAGCUUGCUCAAAUUAACAUUAGCCAAGUAUUUUUUCAAGUGUGACGAUGCAAUCAAUAUCCUUUUGUGCCAUUGAUAACCCAAUAGUCCAAUCCGAUGGGAACUAUAUUAUAAAAGUUGUUUUUGUUUGUGUAGUUGUCGAAUAGGUUCCAGUUCGCAUUGGGCCAGCCUACAAGAGCAAGUUGCUUAUCCAAGAGAUUUAUGGGCUUAAAUUGAUAACUUAGCUUAGCCCAUCAGUUUCCUAUUUCCAUCGAGGAGGUGAACGUGAAGGAAGAAUCACGGGGAAGGGAGAACUUGUUCAUCAAUGGAAGUUUUUUUCCAAUUUGAAGAGCACAAAAUUAAAAUUGACUGGCGGGUGUUAGAUGGAUGAAGUGAAUAUCUGAGGACCUCAUGAAGAAAUGUUUGGUUUCUCUAGUACUGGUCCAAACCAUUAUGGUAAAGGCCGCUAUUACAAUUAGCUAAGCUUUUGGGCAAUUCCCAAGUCAAAUUUAUGAAUAUCUGGGCCCUUCAAAUUCAUUACUUCCGGUUUUGGAUGCUGAAAUUGGCUUGCGGGAUGGAUAAUUUGAUGACGAUGAACGACAUCGUUUUACUUAACGCAGUUAUCCCAUUCUCCACUGCUCCUCAUUGAAAAUCUCUAUCAGGACCGGACUAGAGAGAGAGAGAGACCAAAACAAACAAGAUUAAAAAAAUGUGCAAGUUGCCAUUUAAUUUCAUUUUUUAAAUGAACAAAACCAUGAGAUGAGAAGCUCUGGACCUUUCGUUAUUGGAGGAACUGCCAGUGAUGGCGGUGCAUUUUGGACGCUUCUGUUGAGACCGCCUCCAAUCUCCUCUUACCGAUUCAAUCGUUAAAUCCAACUCCGCUCUUCUCGGUGAUCUUUUGACCUUCCUUUACCGGUCACGAUUUUCUUCUUUUUACGGUGAACACUGAUUAUAUGACCGUCAACGGCAAUGCGUUUAGCAAGAUGGAAGACGAUUACAUCAGAAGGCACCAUAAGCACGACGUUAAAGACCACCAGUGUAGCUCCUCUCUCGUUAAACACAUCAAAGCUCCAGUUCAUCUUGUAAGCCUCUUUUUCCAUAUAUUUUUUUUCUAGGUUAAUCAAUUUAAAACCCGUGGAGGAUUCGUUUUGGUAGAUCCGAGAGCAUUUUAGGCUGUACUUGGUCUGGAUUUUGCCUUUCAGGACCUGUUGGAUAAUAUUAUUGUAUUAAUGUGAUGUUUUAUAGAAUAUUUUGUGGUAUUUGAACUAUCAUCAGGUGUGGUCUCUGGUGAGAAGAUUUGAUCAACCACAGAGGUAUAAGCCGUUUGUUAGUAGGUGCAUUGUGCAGGGAGGCCUUCAGAUUGGAAGUGUUAGGGAGGUGAAUGUUAAGUCAGGACUUCCAGCUACCACUAGCACUGAACGAUUGGAGCUGCUGGAUGAUGAAGAGCAUAUAUUUAGGAUGACCAUUGUUGGGGGAGAUCAUCGGCUUAAGAACUACUCUUCAAUCAUUACUGUCCAUGCAGAGGUCAUUGAUGGGAGACCAGGGACAGUGGUCAUUGAGUCAUUUGUUGUUGAUGUGCCGGAUGGGAACACCAAGGAUGAAACAUGUUACUUUGUUGAGGCUCUAAUCAAAUGCAACCUGAAGUCACUGGCUAAUGUGUCGGAGCGUUUGGCUGUGCAAGACCGAACUGAGCCCAUUGACAGAAUCUGACGUAUGUGGGGCAGACUCCCAGUGCGGUGGGUUCUGUUUAUGCUAGUGGAAAAUGUGAGGUUUCUUUUGUCAGAAGCAGAUGGGGAGUUUUGCAUCCCAGAGGCAAUGUCAACUUUUCUUUUUCUUUAUACUUUAUGCUUACUC
rnacentral:misc_RNA from 1 species